GAUUAACGCUGGCGGCGUGCAUAACACAUGCAAGUCGAACGAUGAAACUUUAAUGAACCCUUCGGGGAGAAUUAAAGCGGAUUAGUGGCGAACGGGUGAGUAACGCGUGAGUAACCUGCCUUACACAAGGGGAUAGCCUUUGGAAACGAAGAAUAAUACCCUAUAAAACCAUAAAGGCACAUGCAAUUAUGGUCAAAGUGAUAGCGGUGUAAGAUGGACUUGCGUCUGAUUAGCUAGUUGGUGAGAUAAAAGCCCACCAAGGCAACGAUCAGUAGCCGGCUUGAGAGAGUGUACGGCCACAUUGGGACUGAGACACGGCCCAGACUCCUACGGGAGGCAGCAGUGGGGAAUUUUGCACAAUGGGGGAAACCCUGAUGCAGCGACGCCGCGUGAUUUAGAAGGCCUUCGGGUUGUAAAAAUCUUUUGUAUAGGAAGAAAAUGACAGUACUAUACGAAUAAGGUCCGGCUAAUUACGUG
rnacentral:rRNA from 1 species